AAUGUUAGAGUAGAAUUUUUCUAUUUUCGUAAAAGUUAUUUAUGGACGAUUUACGACUGUCUGAGAAAGAAUAAAGAUAUUAAAUGAAUUAAUGAGAUAGAAGUUAUAAAAUAUCUAGAUAUUUUGUUAUAUAUUAUUAUUUUAUUAAAUCAAGAUAAUAUCUAGAUAUAUUUUUUGAAUAUAUUAUUAUUAAUAUUACUGGUAUUAUUAUUAUAUAUACGUGUAGUCAUUAGGUGAAAACAACACGCUCAAUUUUCUCUCUUCUUUCCAUUCCACGCUCUUUUCUUCUCUCUCUGCAAAAACCGAAAACAGAAGCGCUCCUCCCCCUCUCUCCAAACCUAGCCACCACCAAUCUCCGACCACCACAAGCCCAAACAGAAAAACUAUUACCACCAUUAUUAUCCUCUCUUUUCCCUCUUUCUUGUAGUAUAAUUUAAUUUUAGAUUAGAACAGUUUCAAAAUUUCACAUCUCCACCUUCUGUCUUAUUUUCCGGCCGCCAUGGACUCUCUAUGUGAAAAAUAAACUGAGAAAUCUCUUCCUCUCAAUAAUAUCUAUAAAACUGACAAAUAAAAUUCAUGAUCAGACCACAUUGGACAACCGCGCCGGGAAUAUCACAACCGUGCCGGAAAUUUCAGAAAGGGUCCAUUAAUCCUCCCUCCUUCCUGCUAUCAUGUUUGUUGUCUGUAUUCUUGGACCGAUAUUAGACUGCUUCUACCCUAAAUAACUUAUCCCUUUCUGUUUGCCCUGAUCACCAUCUCCGGCCAGUAACUGCGUCGUCGCCGCCGCUGUUAAUGGUUGAAAGUGUGAACUGGAUAGGGACCUCGUCGAGAAAGACAUACCGUUCUCACGUAGCGUAAGUUGAAUGUGUUGGAAGCUUGCUAAGGUAAGGGCACUUUCUAACGAUAUUAUAUAUGAUUGAAUGCAUAUGUGUUGGUAUGAAUGAUUGUGUGCCCGGUUGGGGAUGUGUGUUUCUGCUGUGAUGCUAAACUUGAGAAUGUGUUUCAUAUGAUUUGUUGAAAAUAUAUGAAUUGACUGUGGUUAUGAUUACAUAUGUGAAGAUUAUGUAAGUUCAUAUGAUUUUUCGAAUAUAUGAAUUGACUAUCGAGAAAAUGUUAUGAUGCAUUUGCAUUAUGUGCUCAUGCAUAUCAUAGUUGCGUGUAUGUCGAGAGGACUGCACCGGGUGAGGACUCUAGUAGAUUGAGCCCACCUAAUCCUGCGGGAUUUUAUUGAGUUGGUUUCUGUUGAGAUCACUUCUAGUGAGGCAGUACCUUAGUGUCUGUUGAGAUCACUUUUAGUGAGGCAGAACCUUUUAGUGGAAAGAGGCCACGACUCUCUGCGGAGAGGUAAAAUUCCGGAAUUCAUGCAUGUGAGGAACCCGGUUAGGGGGAUCACACCCAUGUAGAGUCUGCAUUAGGAUAUUUGUACAUCACUUCAUGUAUUGAAAUAACUAUGGUGACUGUUGUAUAUCAUGUAUUACUUGCAUGUGUGUAUUCUUUCAUGUAUGCUAUUUUUAGUUCGUGACCCUCUACUAUUAUUCUGUUGUGGCUAACGACCACCCAGGCUGUUAGCAAUUGGGGAUAGUUAAGGUAUCCUGGUGUCGUGAAGACUUGCAAGAUGUGAAUGUCUUUGGAUAGGAGUUCAAGAUCAGCUUAGGGUUUUGUUUCAGAGUGUUUUCUGUAUUUGUUUGGGAAGUUUGUUGUUAAAGCGGAAUGCUUAAUUUGUGUGUGUGGUUUUGACCUUUACUUGUUGUCAAAUACUCUGUACGCAAUUAUAUUCAAGUGGUCAAAUAUUUUAUGACCUUGGGCAUUGCGCUGUACCUAUUCAUGGAAAAGACUUAGACCGAAAAGCUCGUACUCUGAUUUAUCAUUUUUAUUAUUCCUAAAAGGACAGUGGUCCAUAUUUUGUAAGGCAUUAAUUUCAAAAAAAAAAAUACACUCGCGCUGUUAAAAAUCGGGGUGUUACAUUGUGGUAUCAGAGCUUUGGUCUAGAUUUUCAUGGGGCUCUGUGAGUCGGGUAUCCUAAGCUGAUCAAGUGUCCAAUUUAGUGGGAUAAAAUGUUUGGAGUCCUAUAUGUUAUGUGUUAUGUGCUUUAUGUCUUGAGUUAAGCAUGAAAUAUGCUUAGGUAAUCGAUUGUUUCUUGACUGAAGUUAAUGUACCCUAUAGUACUUCAGUAAGGAGGAUAAUUAUAACCCUAGAGCAUCAGUCGACUUUGGUCGAUAUGUGUCUAUGAAUUCUUUGGAUGUGUUGGUUUAGAAGGGACAAAAUUGAACCGAGUAAGAACUACAAGGUAUUUCUUUAGUAACUAUAUGGAUUAGAAGUUAUGUUUUUCUCUUCACUCAGAGAUGCUGAGUGGAGACAAGUGGAAGUUAAACUUACAAAUGAUUACGAUUAAGAACCUUAUUUGGGGGGACCUUUUGAGAAAAAUUAUUGGAUGUUCAUUCUGGAGAGAUCCGAAUGAGAUGAGAUUAAGCUUAUUAACUAUUAAUAAGGUGAUGUCUCUUUGGAAUUGAAGAGCAGCCAUGGAUGUCAAUUGGAAAUAAUUACAAUACUUGGAUAGUAAUGAAGUGUCUUCUCUAGGAAGUAAGCGGAUAUCGCACGUUAUGAUUAAGCGAACCUAGUUAAGUUAGAAGAAGAUUAUGCAAUUGGCAGGUACUUGAAGGGCUAAAGUUUGGUGUUUAAAGCUAUGUUAGAAUUGUAAAUAAAUGUAUUAAGGAUGAAUCAUGUGAUGAUUGAUGGUAGGAUACCUAGUAAUACAUAGAUAAGUGACAAGCUAUGCGUAGUUCGGAAUCAAAUGAGUAUAAAGGUUGAUAUGAGAUGAAGGUACAAGUAGCACUUUGAAUUUAAGUGAUCAUAAGAGUUUAAAUGGGUAAGGGUUAAAUUAUUCAAAUCAUGGUCGACAAUGUUUGGAGAUUUACUAGGAAUUUCGAGGAAUACUUUUUAGAGCGUUAGAUCGCGAGAAAUAUGUUGGUUGGUACCUUAGUAAAGGUUAGAAAUGAAUAAGGAAUAAAUGAUUGAAUAGAUGUUCCAGAAUGAUUAGCAAGAGCUUAUGUGAAAAAUAUUAGUUCGUGUUAUAAAAGAAUAUUACGACAUUUAGAUAGUCACGAAAAUUAAUGAUGUUGUUUGAAGUCAACAAGAUAAAGGUCAUGAUAUGUUGAAGAAAUAACUGUAGGUGGUAGGUUGCUGAAAUUUUGAAGUUGUAAAUUUCUAGAUGAUCGAAGAAGAUCAAGUAUAAGGUUUUUUUUUGGAGUGGUGAUAUCGGAAAGGUAGUCAGUCACAAAGGAAGAUUGAUGUGGUGUACAAGCAAGUAAGAGAGAAGGUAACUCAUAUUUUAUAAGAGAGGUUGGAAAUCUUGUUGUUUAAUUGGUUAAAGUUAAAAGGAGUUGAGAGAAGGACUACAAUGAUAUACUUAAAUAGAAAAUGUGAAGGAGACUGAGCAUUACAUCAAGGGUGUAUGUUAUAGAUGAUGAGGUCGCGUUCGGACUUAAAGAAAAGAUUUAAGAAGUGGUAUAAAUGGAAGGAGACUAAUCUCGCAGUUGAUAAUCUUAUAUCACAAGAAUAAUAAGUAAUGUAUUGGUGACUAGAUGGAAUUUUACAAUCGGAGUUAGGAUGGUGAAAUUUGUAAGUAAAAAGCAUGUUGGAGAAUUCCACAUGAAACUUUAGAAGUUAUGACGAGGUUAGUUACGAUAUGUCAUUAAUGGACAAUUGAACAACAAAAUAUGAGAUGUUAGAACAAUUGAGAAUGGUUAGGGUGACGAGCUCUUUUGAGGAAAAUAGAAUUUAAUGGUAAGAUAAAAUAAACUCAAGUGAGUUUGGAAGAAGGUAUAGGAUAACACGAAAGACAUAGUGUGCCAACAGAGGCCGUCAACAACAAGAAAUAUUUCAUGUCAAGGUACACAAGGGUAAGAUAUGUGAUCAUUUGAGAAUAAGGUAGUUUUAAUAGAGUGUUAUGCAAUUGUUUAAGACUGGUGUAAAAAGAAAUUGUGUCUUAGGAAAGAAAAUUUUGGAAGUUUUAGUCACCGGCCGGAUGUUGGGAUGAUAUUAUUAAGAUCAGUGGCGGAGCCAGGAAUUUUAUGCAGCCUGGGCAAAAACUUUACACCAUUGAUUAUUUAUCUGAUUUAAUUUUCACGUCAUAUUUUUACUAAUUUUGCCCCUGAUUAAUAUUAUAAUUUGGAAUGAGAUUUGAAUGUGAACAUAUACGAAUCGCUGCAAUUAUGAGAUUAAAGGAAUAGCUAAAGAUUUAUGGAUGUAAGUGAAGUUGUGAAGUCCUCCACGGUGAUGGAGGCUUCAUUUGGAGUGAAACAGGUUGGAUUGUACUUGGUGUAUUAGAGCUUACUUCUUUGAAGGAUACUCAAUAGUUGUUCCAUGGUAAUUGAGCGUAAAGAAGGAUGUAACUUGUUUGGGAUAUUGUGUCUCACUGGCAAGAUCACAGUAGCAAGAAAUUAAGGAAGCGUUUAGUAAACAUCGAUCGGAUUAUUGGACCCUUAUGCCUUAUAUGACUUUGAGCACAAGUUGCAAAGAGUGCUAUUGUAGUUAGGCAAGAAUGGUUUGUGUCACCAUCAUGGUUCCCACCUACAUAUUGACAAAUUGAGGAACUGAUCACCCUUAAUCUCUUGUUGAUAGUAGAUGGAAUCAUGUUGAAUGGAAUAGACGAGUCUUGCCAGCUUUAGUAGUGUAUAAAGUUAAUUAAGCAUUCUAUCAGGAGGAUAGUUGAUCACCACUUCACAUAAACCUAGUGGAGUGGGUUGAGACGUGGAGGUGGAAAUGUGACUAUGAGAGUUUAAGCAUUUACCUAGAAUCCUAGAGGACUUGUCGUUUAUGAAUGUGUUCUUUUAAGAUUAGUUUUGAGUGUUGAACUCAUACAUAGUGUGAUGUUUGACCUUGCGUAUAGAGUCCGAGUCAGUGCAACUUUGUAGAGGGUUGCAAUAGGUACACGGACGUGCUAGUGAUGAUGUUAAUAAUAACUAGUUGAGUUGUUACUCUUGCCUCAAGUUUCGAGGACGAAACUUCUUUUAGGAGGGUAGUAAUGUAAGACCCAUAAAAAAGUACACUAGCAGUAAUUAGAAUUUUUAAAUAUUAAAUAGUAUUAUGCUAUUUUAUUUUAUCGAUUUUCUAUUUAAUUGUCCAUUCUGACAAGUUUUGUUGAAUUGUGUUGUGUCUAAAUCACACUUUUAAAAUUGGCACAAAGAUUAUAUUAAGUUUAAAUGUUUCUAUUGUGUCGGAAAAGUUUCGUUUGAUUCUUAAGAAAACGAGUAAAAUUAUCCGUCGUUUAAAUUUUCACUGACUCUGAUUGUUGUGAAAAUUUAAAUAGGAGUUUUAUAUAUUGUCGAGAGAAUGAGAUUUUAAUCUCAACACUUUUUUUAAGCUAAGAAACAAAAAUUUAUUUAGAAUAAUAAUAUAUAUCAAAGUCAUGUUUGUUACAGUUAAAAUGUUAGAGUAGAAUUUUUCUAUUUUCGUAAAAGUUAUUUAUGGACGAUUUACGACUGUCUGAGAAAGAAUAAAGAUAUUAAAUGAAUUAAUGAGAUAGAAGUUAUAAAAUAUCUAGAUAUUUUGUUAUAUAUUAUUAUUUUAUUAAAUCAAGAUAAUAUCUAGAUAUAUUUUUUGAAUAUAUUAUUAUUAAUAUUACUGGUAUUAUUAUUAUAUAUACGUGUAGUCAUUAGGUGAAAACAACACGCUCAAUUUUCUCUCUUCUUUCCAUUCCACGCUCUUUUCUUCUCUCUCUGCAAAAACCGAAAACAGAAGCGCUCCUCCCCCUCUCUCCAAACCUAGCCACCACCAAUCUCCGACCACCACAAGCCCAAACAGAAAAACUAUUACCACCAUUAUUAUCCUCUCUUUUCCCUCUUUCUUGUAGUAUAAUUUAAUUUUAGAUUAGAACAGUUUCAAAAUUUCACAUCUCCACCUUCUGUCUUAUUUUCCGGCCGCCAUGGACUCUCUAUGUGAAAAAUAAACUGAGAAAUCUCUUCCUCUCAAUAAUAUCUAUAAAACUGACCAAUAAAAUUCAUGAUCAGACCACAUCGGACAACCGCGCCGAAAAUAUCACAACCGUGCCGGAAAUUUCAGAAAGGGUCCAUUAAUCCUCCCUCCUUCCUGCUAUCAUGUUUGUUGUCUGUAUUCUUGGACCGAUAUUAGACUGCUUCUACCCUAAAUAACUCUUAUCCCUUUCUGUUUGCCCUGAUCACCAUCUCCGGCCAGUAACUGCAUCGUCGCCGCCGCUGUUAAGGGUUGAAAGUGUGAACUGGAUAGGGACCUCGUCGAGAGAGACAUACCGUUCUCACGUAGCGUAAGUUGAAUGUGUUGGAAGCUUGCUAAGGUAAGGGUACUUUCUAACGAUAUUAUAUGUGAUUGAAUGCAUAUGUGUUGGUAUGAAUGAUGGUGUGCCCAGUUGGGGUUUUGUGAUAAUUGUGUAUCUGACUGAGAAUGUUUAAAUGAUGUGUGCCCAUAUAUGAAUAUGUGUUUAUGCUGUGAUGCUAAACUUGAGAAUGUGUUUUCAUAUGAUUUGUUGAAAAUAUAUGAAUUGACUUGUGGUUAUGAUUACAUGUGUGAAGAUUAUGUAAGUUCAUAUGAGUUGUUGAAUAUAUGAAUUGACUAUUGAGAAAUAUUAUGAUGCAUUUGCAUAUAUGUGCUCAUGCAUAUCAUAGUUGCGUGUAUGUCGAGAGGACUGCACCGGGUGAGGACUCUAGUAGAUUGAGCCCACCUAAUCCUGCGGGAUUUUAUUGAGUUGGUUUCUGUUGAGAUCACUUCUAGUGAGGCAGUACCUUAGUGUCUGUUGAGAUCACUUUUAGUAUUGUGUCUGUUGAAAUAAAUAUUGUGACUGUUGUAUAUCAUGUAUUACUUGCAUGUGUGUAUUCUUUCAUGUAUGCUAUUUUUAGAUCGUGACCCUCUACUAUUAUUCUGUUGUGGCUAACGACCACCCAGGCUGUUAGCAAUUGGGGAUAGUUAAGGUAUCCUGGUGUCGUGAAGACUUGCAAGAUGUGAAUGUCUUUGGAUAGGAGUUCAAGAUCAGCUUAGGGUUUUGUUUCAGAGUGUUUUCUGUGUUUGUUUGGGAAGUUUGUUGUUAAAGCGGAAUGCUUAAUUUAUGUGUGUGGUUUUGACCUUUACUUGUUGUCAAAUACUCUGUACGCAAUUAUAUUCAAGUGGUCAAAUAUUUUAUGACCUUGGGCAUUGCGCUGUACCUAUUUAUGGAAAAGACUUAGACCGAAAAGCUCGUACUCUGAUUUAUCAUUUUUAUUAUUCCUAAAAGGACAGUGGUCCAUAUUUUGUAAGGCAUUAAUUUUAAAAAAAAAAUACACUCGCGCUGUUAAAAAUCGGGGUGUUACAAGGUGAAUCCUGAUCGGCCACCAAUUUCACCUCGUUUCUAUGUUCUGAUCAAUGGAAAAACACUUCAUUCCGUGGUAGUUUUAAUCGUUUUAGUCUUGUUCUUUCUAGGUUUGCGUAAUUUCAUUUUUAUAUUGAUGUGUUAUCUUUUCUAGUUUAUGUUGGUUUUUCUAUUGCUUUUGAUCUUGUAUUGGUAGUGUUUAAGUGUUGCAGGAACAGGGCAAGAUUCGAGUCAAGGAAAAGUGGUUUUUGGCGAGACAGAGCUGUGACAUGGUCACCCGUGUCCUGUGACACGGCCGUGUCACACUUGCUGAAGGGAAAUAUUGCAAAAUCUUGGAACCAUGAAGUCAGAAGUCUGAUACGGCCACCCAUGUCCCAUGACACGGCCGUGUCAGACGUGUGCGCAGAAAAAAUUGUGUUUUAAAUCUUUGGACUUUGUCAUUUAAGGAGGGGCAUAAUGGACUUUUCAGAAGAGAAUAUUUGCUGAGAGUUAUUUAGUCACCAUUUGGAAAGGAAAAAAGCACUUUUUGGAUAGUCGGCAAACGUGAAAAGAAGAUUGAGAGCACUAGGGCUUGAAGCGAAGAACUCUUCAAGAGCAUCAGCAAUUGAAGAUCAAUUCCGAGUCAACCAAUUGUAAUGUCUUCAUCUUUAAUCAUUGUUAUGUUAACAAUUGCCAUGAGUAACUAAACUUUUACUUGUUA